CCACCCGCUUCACCUCCCUGAGCGGGGGCCUCGAAGCUUUCGAGUCGACAGGCUUGCGGCCCCGACCCAUCGCACUGCGCCGGUCGGGGUAUUUUUU
rnacentral:ncRNA from 1 species